rnacentral:rRNA from 1 species
AGAGUUUGAUCCUGGCUCAGGGUAAACGCUGGCGGCGUGCCUAAAACAUGCAAGUCGAACGGACAUCCUUCGGGAUGUGAGUGGCAGACGGCUGAGUAACGCGUGGGUGACGUACCUAUUGGUGGGGAAUAACUGCCCGAAAGGGUGGCUAAUACCGCAUACGCCCGCUACUGCGUAGUGGUGGGGAAAGUCUCGCGAGAGGCGCUGAUGGAGCGGCCCGCGUCCGAUUAGCUCGUUGGUGGGGUAACGGCCUACCAAGGCGACGAUCGGUAGCUGGUCUCAGAGGAUGAUCAGCCAGACUGGGACUGAGACACGGCCCAGACUCCUACGGGAGGCAGCAGUUAGGAAUUUUGGGCAAUGGGCGCAAGCCUGACCCAGCAACGCCGCGUGGGUGAAGAAGGCCUUCGGGUUGUAAAGCCCUUUUCUGAGGGAAGAUGAUGACGGUACCUCAGGAAGAAGCACCGGCUAACUACGUGCCAGCAGCCGCGGUAAUACGUAGGGUGCGAGCGUUGCCCGGAUUUAUUGGGCGUAAAGGGCGCGUAGGCGGCCACGCACGUCCGUUGUGAAAUCGCUCGGCUCAACUGGGCGGGGUCAGCGGAUACGGUGUGGCUGGAGCAAGCUAGGGGGCAAUGGAAUUCCCGGUGUAGUGGUGGAAUGCGUAGAUAUCGGGAGGAACACCAGUGGCGAAGGCGGUUGCCUGGAGCUUUGCUGACGCUGAUGCGCGAAAGCGUGGGGAGCGAUCCGGAUUAGAUACCCGGGUAGUCCACGC